rnacentral:ribozyme from 1 species
AAAGAAGAAGAUAUAAAAAAGGAAAAAAAAAAAAAAAGAAAAAAAAUUUUUCUUUCUUUUUUUUCGAACUUACCCGUCUUUCUCUCCUGUUAUGUUACUUUUAGACCAAAAAAUGGUCUAAAAGUAACAUAGAAAAACUAUAAAAACACCUUCUAGAUUUUUUUUUUUUUUUAUCUUUUAUUUGUAUUCCAACAGACAGUUCUGAAA